rnacentral:rRNA from 1 species
AUUGAACGCUGGCGGCAGGCCUAACACAUGCAAGUCGAGCGGAGCGGCGGACGGGUGAGUGAUGCCUAGGAAUGUGACUGUUAGUGGGGGAUAGCGACCGGAAACGGGCGCUAAUACCGACUACUAUCACCUGAGCCUAGGUCGGAUUAGCUAGUUGGUGGGGUAAAGGCCUACCAAGGCGACGAUCCGUAACUGGUCUGAGAGGAUGAUCAGUCACACUGGAACUGAGACACGGUCCAGACUCCUACGGGAGGCAGCAGUGGGGAAUAUUGGACAAUGGGCGAAAGCCUGAUCCAGCCAUGCCGCGUGUGUGAAGAAGGUCUUCGGAUUGUAAAGCACUUUAAGUGGGGAGGCGUUACAAACAGAAGAAGCACCGGCUAACUCCGUGCCAGCAGCCGCGGUAAUAC